AACAUCAAACAGACAGUUGAUAGAAUCAUCUAUCCAGCACCCUCCAUGCCCUGCUCACUAGUGCUGCAGAGAGAGCACAGACCCAUUUAAUGUCUACCACCAUCUUCUAGUGGGAGGCAGGCUGCAGUCUAGCAGAUGAGCUGUCACCAACCAUUCACAUAACACACUGAGGAAGAGUGAUGGGGGGACACACAAGGCCGUGACCAAAUGCUGUGAUGAGAGGGGGGGACACAAGGCCGUGACCAAAUGCUGUGAUGAGAGGGAGGGGAAAAAGGGGAGUGAAAGGGAGAGAGAUGGCGAAGUUGCUGGGAAGGAUGUGGAAAGGAAGGAGAGAUGGUGAAGUGGCUGGGAAGGAUGUGGAAAGGAAUGAGAGAUGGCGAAGUGGCUGGGAAGGAUGUGGAAAGGAAUGAGAGAUGGCGAAGUGGCUGGGAAGGAUGUGGAAAGGAAUGAGAGAUGGCGAAGUGGCUGGGAAGGAUGUGGAAAGGAAGGAGAGAUGGCGAAGUGGCUGGGAAGGAUGUGGAAAGGAAGGAGAGAUGGCGAAGUGGCUGGGAAGGAUGUGGAAAGGAAGGAGAGAUGGCGAAGUGGCUGGGAAGGAUGAGGAAAGGAAGGAGAGGUGGCGAAGUGGCUGGGAAGGAUGUGGAAAGGAAGGAGAGAUGGCGAAGUGGCUGGGAAGGAUGUGGAAAGGAAGGAGAGAUGGUGAAGUGGCUGGGAAGGAUGUGAAAAGGAAGGAGAGAUGGUGAAGUGGCUGGGAAGGAUGUGGAAAGGAAGGAGAGAUGGCGAAGUGGCUGGGAAGGAUGUGGAAAGGAAGGAGAGAUGGUGAAGUGGCUGGGAAGGAUGUGGAAAGGAAGGAGAGAUGGUGAAGUGGCUGGGAAGGAUGUGGAAAGGAAGGAGAGAUGGUGAAGUGGCUGGGAAGGAUGUGGAAAGGAAGGAGAGAUGGCGAAGUGGCUGGGAAGGAUGUGGAAAGGAAGGAGAGAUGGCGAAGUGGCUGGGAAGGAUGUGAAAAGGAAGGAGAGAUGGCGAAGUGGCUGGGAAGGAUGUGGAAAGGAAGGAGAGAUGGUGAAGUGGCUGGGAAGGAUGUGGAAAGGAAGGAGAGAUGGUGAAGUGGCUGGGAAGGAUGUGGAAAGGAAGGAGAGAUGGUGAAGUGGCUGGGAAGGAUGUGGAAAGGAAGGAGAGAUGGUGAAGUGGCUGGGAAGGAUGUGGAAAGGAAGGAGAGAUGGUGAAGUGGCUGGGAAGGAUGUGGAAAGGAAGGAGAGAUGGUGAAGUGGCUGGGAAGGAUGUGGAAAGGAAGGAGAGAUGGCGAAGUGGCUGGGAAGGAUGUGGAAAGGAAGGAGAGAUGGCGAAGUGGCUGGGAAGGAUGUGGAAAGGAAGGAGAGAUGGCGAAGUGGCUGGGAAGGAUGUGGAAAGGAAGGAGAGAUGGCGAAGUGGCUGGGAAGGAUGUGGAAAGGAAGGAGAGAUGGCGAAGUGGCUGGGAAGGAUGUGGAAAGGAAGGAGAGAUGGCGAAGUGGCUGGGAAGGAUGUGGAAAGGAAGGAGAGAUGGUGAAGUGGCUGGGAAGGAUGUGGAAAGGAAGGAGAGAUGGUCUAAUACAGAGAAAGAAAGGCAAGAAAGUGAGGCCCCGGAAGGGAAAGGGGGGAGGAGAUGAAAAAAGGAGGGGGAAAACUUGAAUCUUUAACCCACGUCAUCCUCCUCUCUCAAGGGACAUUCCCUCUCCCACACCAGGGAGGGAGGGAGGGAGGGGUCAGAGAAGGUCAGAAGGCGAGACAGAGAGAGCGAGAGAGAGAGUGGGAGGGGCACAAAUAAGGCCAGACUCAUGGGUCUGACAGCCGGUGAGAGAGGGAUAAAGAAAAAGAGAGACUGAGGGAGGAAGAGUGAGAGGCAGCAGAGGGAGAACAGAACGAGGCCUCCUGUGGCUCGUCAUCUGCCAUUUCCUGUGUGGUUAUUCCAGCGUGCUGCUCCUAAUUCUUAAAUCUGUCGCUAAUCCCUCAUCCUCUCUCUCUCCCAG